UGCGCAGGCGGGCUUGUAAGUCAGUGGUGAAAUUCUGCCGCUUAACGGUAGAACUGCCAUUGAUACUGCAAGUCUUGAAUAUGGUUGAGGUAGGCGGAAUGUGUUGUGUAGCGGUGAAAUGCAUAGAUAUGACACAGAACGCCAAUUGCGAAGGCAGCUUACUAAGCCAUUAUUGACGCUGAGGCACGAAAGCGUGGGGAUCAAACAGGAUUAGAUACCCUGGUAGUCC
rnacentral:rRNA from 1 species